UACGGAGGGGACUAGCGUUGUUCGGAAUUACUGGGCGUAAAGCGCGUGUAGGCGGCACUACAAGUCGGAUGUGAAAUCCCGCGGCUUUAACCGUGGAAGUGCACCCGAAACUGUAGAGCUAGAGUCCCGGAGAGGAUGGUGGAAUACUUGGUGUAGAGGUGAAAUUCGUAGAUAUCAAGUGGAACACCGGUGGCGAAGGCGGCCAGUCUGGGACGGUGACUGAC
rnacentral:rRNA from 1 species